UUGAUAAAUCCAGAAAGACACCAUUCUUGCCAGUGGCCAAUCAGAAGCAAACACUAACUCUUGGUAUGUGUUUGGAGGAAAAUGCCUCUUUGCAAGUCUUGCAUUUGAAGAUCAAAGAAUAUUUUCCUCGGCUACUCUAUGGAGUCUACAAUCUACAGGGUGAUUGUGAUUGAUCAAUAGAAGGUGAUUGUAAGUCUAGACGGGACAUUGAACGACACUUUGCUCCAAGCUGUUAAAGGUGAUAGUAUUGGUUUAAUAAUGAUUCAGAUCCGAGCAGAAUCUCUUUGCAAGAAUAAGGAUUAUUAAGGAGAUCCCAGCAACAGCUUAGGGGGAGCAUUUGGUGGAUCCACUAGUCAAACUCAACACCACAUUGAAGAUGAACAGGACAUACUAAGAACUCAUCUGCUUAGACAAAGGGUUUGAAGUCAAUAUCAUUCCCGGGUUCUAGUUCUUAAAUGUUUCGAAUGGUGAAGUGAAGACUAGGAGAGAUAUUGUGAAAGGAUGUUAUUUCUUUGGGUUUCAAUCUGAAGUGAAACUUAAGGAAGAUUCAGAAGCUCUUAAAGGGAUCCAGAUUGAGUGAUUGCACAACAAGAUGAUCUCAAUCAGUUUGAAAGCAGAUUGUGCGGAUUCUGAUACCCGGACCUAAUGACAAUUCAUUACAUAGUACUUGUCGGGUAUUUAGAUUCCAAUUGGAUGUUUUUGGCUCUGUUACGAGGGACAAGCCAAUUUGGUUGCUAAGAGUUACUACAAAGGAGAAGGUUAUGAAGAUGAUGGAAAUAAAAUCUUCAAGUUUAGGACUCUACAUCUUAGGGGACUCAACGACCUUCAUGAUUGAACUAAAGCACCAUUGACGAGACUCGGG
rnacentral:lncRNA from 1 species